rnacentral:rRNA from 1 species
ACACCGGCGGCCCGAGUGGUGGCCACUAUUAUUGGGUCUAAAGGGUCCGUAGCCGGUUUGGUCAGUCUUCCGGGAAAUCUGACGGCUUAACCGUUAGGCUUUCGGGGGAUACUGCCAGGCUUGGGACCGGGAGAGGUAAGAGGUACUACGGGGGUAGGAGUGAAAUCUUGUAAUCCCUGUGGGACCACCAGUGGCGAAGGCGUCUUACCAGAACGGGUCCGACGGUGAGGGACGAAAGCUGGGGGCAC